CUUCUCCGACUGCCCUCCACCCUUGACUCUGCUUUGUCUUCCAAGCCCACGUGGUGAUAAGGGCUUGGAAGACAAAGCAGAGUCAGGGGUGGAGGGCCGUUCCACCUAUUGCAAAGGAGGAGCUGAUAGCAUGACACCUUUGUUUUUUAUUGUUGGGAUCCUCCCCUAGAACAUAAACCCUAUGAGCUCUGUGACUCUGUCUCAUCACCCCUGUGUCCUGGGGUCUAGAACAGAGCCUAACACACAGCAGGCUUACGAGAACCACUUUGGGGAUGAAUAAAUACAAUUGUUAUACCUAAUUUCGAAUCCUUGUAAUUAGUAUAAGGAGAGUAACGAACUUCUGCAAACUUAAAGAUCAACAAGGGAAGAAAUGAUGCCACUCUGAGAAACACUGAAAUGUGGUUUUAGUAAUGCCUUAAUGAUGUUCAUUAAAGGUCCAUGAAAUCUCUCCACUUUACUUUCAGUUUCUCCACUGAGGCCUGUAGGAUGAGCUGGAGAUCCUUUUCCUGAUUAUGAUUGUAGAUACCAGAGGGCCUGACCUGGGCUUUUGUUAGGAAGGAGAAAAGGAGGUUGAAGGGCUGGUGAUCUGACUUGCACCCCAUGAAGCGAAGGGGAGCAUGUGGACGCUCAGUGAAGGGGCUCCCACGGGAGAAACGGAAUUCCACGACUUGGCCCAGGUCCAGUGGUGACAAUACUCACCCAUACUCUGUUCCUUUUGCAGGAAUUUGUCGUUUCUCCCAAACAUCCACUGAGGGAAUGAAAAGCUCCAUGGAACUUCUCACUCCCAUCAAGUUCUAAUUUGCAGAGAUACAUUCUCCGCGGCCAGUUCCAAGCUACCAACGUGCCCUGAUAGACUGUAGUGUUGGGGAGACAAGGCCAGUGGACAUCAGCACAGAGAAUUUCUACCAUCUGGAUACAAGUAACAGUGAAGAACCUCAAGACGACAGAGCAGAGUUCUUGGUCCUGCUGUUACCCUGAUGCCACCAUCUUCCUCCUCGACUUUCCCCAGUCCAUCUUCCAAAGAAAUGGAAUUCUAGCCUGUAUCGAUACAGCUGGCACACCAGGAAAGCCUGGUUUUCCUAGGAAAACACAACAGAAGCUGCUGCAGAUGUGGGUUCCUGAGUCCACUCUGGGACCAACUCCACAGACAUCUCUGGUGGCAGUAGGGGGACUUCUGAGAAUGCUUCAGGCCCAGACACCUUCCAGCAAGGGAUGGUGAUAGCCAGGAAAAGAGCCUGGCCUGUGCUAGAAGUACGGGAGUAUGUCCUCAGAGGCCCCAGACUGUCGAUAAAAUUUGCUGAUAACCUGGAUGAGAGCCUUUGCCUGAGCAUGAGUUACUCACGGGCUGUCCGCCUUCUGUCUGCUUCUGGAUCCUGCAGCAGCUCCUGCACAAGCUGAGCAUCUCCCCAGCUGCCACGUCAGCCUCAGCUCCUUCCAACAACCAGAUGAACCCAAUUUAUAACUAUGAGGGUGAUCCAAAGUGAAACACAUCCCAUUUCAGGUUUGUGGACCCAGGUUCAGGCUCACACAUCAAGGAGGACACUUACUGUCCCGGAACCAGGGCUUAGGAAAGUCACUGAGCAGCCAAGCUGGAUCCUCUGGUGGAAAGAAGAUGCCAUCUUGGGAGAACAGAACCCAGGUGAUGAGGUGAUUGCAUCUGACAUUUAUUGAAACUCAGAAGCCUAGUAAGUCUCUGAGCCAAGACUGAAGGCAAAAGUCUGACUCCAAAGCCAAGUGCUGUGAAGAGCUGCACCCGGGCUUCCCCACACUGCGUUGUGAGAUGCAGCUGAGAUAAGAUGGUGAAGCAGGGCUCUGGCAUCCAAGGAGGUCUAGCUUUCCAUCUCCAGCUGCAAGCAGCCUCAUUUAUGCCCGGGUGCCUUGCACACAGGAUUUCUCACCGGGCGCUUGGAGGGUCCUGGGCACUGCCUGUGCUGUGCCAUUCCAUUCCUUACUCACUAUUUGAAUGGAUGAUUCUCCUUAUUAGGAAGGCACAGCACUAGAUAUGGGAAUUAUCACAGUGAACAAACAAGACACAGCUCCAUCUGUGUGUGUGAAGUGGUUGGAGGGAGAGAUCAGAAUUAGCAACAUCUUUACCUGCAGGUAGAGUGAGUAUUAGGGAGAAAUGUUCCUUUGUUUCUUUUUAUCUUAUCACUUUUUUUUCUCCAGUUUUUCUAUCACUACCAUGUGUCACUUGCAUGAUAAGAACAAACAAGUUUAUGUUUUAAAGGGCCCCUAAUUUCGAGGGCAGAUCACCUGGCGGAGGGAGCCCUUGACUUGGGGGUGGGAUGGCACACGGGUGGCGUUCCGUGGCCCGGGCCGUCUAUCCAGCCCGCUGAGCCCUUUCCCUGGUCCUGCUCUAAUGCCCCAGGAAGUCUCGGUUUGGACAGAGUUUCCAGAGACAGCAGGGGUAUAAGCAGCAGUGUAAGAAUCUGCUGUCCUUAAACUAACAGACUCUCAGAGACACCACAUGCAGGCCAGUAGCUAGAACUCUUUUUUGAAGGCCACAAAACCCCCCGUGGAACUAAAGCAGCAAGGCGGGGAGGCUGCACUUUGACACAGGACUGAAAGUCUGCUGGGCCUGGCAGGAUAGUCGUAGGUGCGACCCCAGCAGCCCCAAGCUCCCCAACCCCACUGGCUUCCAGUGACCUCUUUCCCACUUCUCACUGGGGGACCUUGGACUGGGCCGUGUGUGGCCUCAGGGUUGGGAUCCUGUAACUGCCUGAGUCACAGGCACCCCUCUUCUGAGAGAGAUUGGAGUGAGGGGAGGGUGGCUGGGCAGCCUGGGUCCCCUCUGAGGAGACGGCACUCGAUGGGUGCUGUGACCUAACCCGUGACAUCUCCACUUGACGAACUAUUUCGUGUUCAUCUCUGAAAGACAAGCUCUUAGAGGUCAGCUGACUCUGAGCACUCGCAGGCUGGAGCGACAGCAGCCACCAGCUCAGACCAUCUCUCACCUGCCUGGACCUGCCGUCCUGGAAGCGGCCCUGACUUGCCUCCCUCCCCCACUUCUGCCCCCAAGUUUCUUGAUGGGGGAGCCUCUGUACCUUCCUUCUACCACCUGACCCUUGGGGCAGACACCCCCUCUGUCCUGCGAGGUGCCCGCCACCUGUCCUCAGCCAAGUCCUUGGAUGAACCUCCUCCACUGACUCCACAAGCCGUCUUGAUUUGAGAGGCGGAGGUCAGGGUUGGCGGAGGAGUAACGGGCUCUGCUUACACCGGGUGCUCUCUGGUGAGACAAGGCCAUGGUUUGGCUGGCAUCCCACUGGCCGGUGUGUAGGGAACGGCCUUGGCAAGGCGCCUGCCGCUGCCUGGGCAGCCUCGCGUCUUACCUGCUGGAACAUCCAUCUUCUCCGCAAGGUCUCAGGGUGGAAAUGAGAUCAGCCUGCCUAAAAUAUUGGCUCAGAUAGAGUAAGAAGCGCCAACAAAACCCACAAUACAGUGUCCUGUCCCCUCUCUUCACACUUCCCAACCCCCAUAUUACAACUUCUCUAAGAAAAGGAUGAACACACACACACAAAAUCUAGAAAAGCAUUUGCACAGGAAAUCCUUCCGGUGUAACACCUCGAAGGCUUCCAGUGUUUAUUCCAACAGCAUCUAGAACAUCAUUUCAUCCCGUUUGGUGGUCCUGCGCCCCCCCCCCAGGUCUCCUAGACUUGGGGAGCGGGGGAAUGUAUACAGCAAGGAUCUCAGACGACCUCUGUCAAUGGGGUGGUUUCACUCAGUUGCCACUCUUGGGCUGUUUUCCAGCCACUACCUCUUCCUACUUCAAGUUCAGUGCCCAGCAGCGCUGAGUCACUGUGAGCAGGUGUCAAUACCUGUCUCCUGGGGAAGGUAGAUGUCUCCAGAGUCGUAAUAAGUCCUAUUGAAAAGUCCAGUCACAACUGUGCACGGUGCUCAGGGAAACGUCUCUCUCACCUUGGUGCCCCCGGCUCCCUGCCAGGCUCACUGAAGUUCCUGUUACUGCAACAAGGUAGCACCCUGGAAAACCUAAUUUAAAGCAAUUAAGUGGUAUUGGACUGCAAGCCGUCACAAUGAAAGGAAUGGCCACGUUCAAUUCAGAGCCCAGAUGGUCUAACUAGGUCUUUAAUGAACCACACAUGUCUGCACAUCUCUACACCCCACUGGAACCAAAGGUAUUUUUACAACCAGUUUUGUUUGUUUGUUUGUUUGUUUUUUGUCUUUUUGCGUUUUUUUUUGAGCUCCUCCCGCAG